AAUAAAUAUUUUACAUAUAAUUUUAAACAUAAAAAUUAAAAAGAUUAGGAUUACUGGUGAGAAAAAAAAAAAGGUUAGAAAUUUAUAGGAAUUUAAAAGUUCUUACUAUCAAAACUAAAAAAAUUUAAUGUUUUCUGACCCUUUAGCCAUCGCAAAUUUCAACAAGUUAUUACUAUCAAAAAUAAUAAAAAAUUAAUAUUCUACAAUCUGAUAAAAUUUGAAAAUUCUCAGAUCAAACUAGAAAAAAAUUAACUAACAAAUUAAAUCACAAAAUAAUCUAAAUUUCAUUCUUAUUUUAUUAAAAAAGGAUUUAAAAAGCAAUAGGUAUGGAAAGAAAUUUUAAUGCAUAGUUACUUAAAAUUAAACUCAUUUGAAAUAUUAAACAAAUAAACAAAGAGAAAAGAAAAAUUAAAAGAUCAUAUUGUCAAAUAAUUUGAAAAUUUUCUUAUAUAAAAUGCCAAAUUAUGAAAGGAAAGAUAGAGAGAGAAAAAUGAAACAAAGAGAAAAUAAAAAUUUUGAAAAUAUAGUAGAGAUAAAAUGACUAAAUUGUCCAUGUAUUAAAAGGCAAAAAUACCCUUUUUUGAGGUACCUGGUAACCGGUACCUUUCCCAAAGUGACUUACUAUUGUAGGUCACAAUUUUAAAAAAACUAAAUCUGAGCCGUUGAAUACGCGUGAAUGAACGGUAACGAAAAAAAAAA
rnacentral:lncRNA from 1 species